AAAGUUUCGAUGUAGAUAGGUAGCGUCAUGACUACGCUACGACAAGUCUCAUCGGGACGAAUAUAGCUUCGCCGUCCAGCACCGAAGAGAACCUGACCCUGGCUUGCGAGUCCUGGAAAACUUCCGUCGCCGAGAAAGCGUCGCUACAGCCGGAGCCAAAGGAUGAAUUAGUGUGAUUGCGCCAAAUGCCGGUGUCCAAAGGGAGCAAGCAAUUGUCACCUCCUUGGCAACAAGUGUGAUUGCAUCAAUGGGGAGUACUACCUGCGUGAUUCAGACCAAUGUGUCCAUGAUGCGGAGGACUGUGAGCUUGUGAACCCUGUAAGUGAAUGCGCCAAGUGCCGGUGUCCAAAUGGAGCAAGCAAUUGUCGAGUCUUUGGCAACAAGUGUGACUGCAUCGAUGGGGAGUACUACCUGCCUGAUUCAGACCAAUGCGUCCGUAAUGCGGACGACUGCAAGUUUGUCAACCCCAUAAGUAAAUGCGCCAAGUGCAAGUGUCCAGUUGGAGUAAGCAAGUGUAACCUCUUCGGCAACGACUGUGAUUGCAUCGAUGGGGAGUUCUACCUGCGUGAUUCAGACCAAUGCGUCCAUGAUGCGAAAGACUGUGAGCAUGUCAGCCC